rnacentral:rRNA from 1 species
UACGGGGGGGGCAAGCGUUGUUCGGAAUUACUGGGCGUAAAGGGCGCGUAGGCGGUUCGCUAAGUUGAAUGUGAAAACUCUGGGCUUAACCCAGAGCCUGCAUCCAAAACUGGCGAACUGGAGUACUGGAGGGGAAAGCGGAAUUCCUGGUGUAGCGGUGAAAUGCGUAGAUAUUCGCAAGAACACCAGUGGCGAAGGCGGCUCACUGGCCCGAUACUGACGCUGAGGCACGAAAGCGUGGGGAGCAAACAGG